UUCCUCAUUUUUAUUUUAUUUAGUUGUCAUUGGAUAGAGACAGAGAUAAAGAGACAGGAGGGGAAAAUAGAGAGGGAGAGAGACAGAGAAAUACCUGAAGCCCAGGGAGUCGGGCGGUAGCAGAGCAGAUUAAACGCAGGUGGUACAAAGCACAAGGACCGGCAUUAAGGAUCCCAGUUUGAGCCCCCGGCUCCCCACCUGCACAGGAGUCACUUCACAGGCGGUGAAACAGGUCUGCAGGUGUCUAUCUUUCUCUCCCCCUCUAUUUUCCCCUCCUCUCUCCAUUUCUCUCUGUCCUAUCCAACAAGGAUGACAUCAAUAACAACAAUAAUAACUACAACAAUAAAAAGGGCAACAAAAAGAGAAUAAAUAUUUAAAUAAAUAAAUCAAAAGAAAUACCUGAAGCCCUGAUUCACCACUCAUGAAGCUUUCCUCCUGCAGGUGGGGACUGGGGGCUUGAACCUGUGUCUUUGCACACUAUAGUAUGAGUGCUUAACCAGGUGCACCACUGCCUGGCCCUGUGUCUUUUCCUCUCUGUGUCUCUUUUCCUCCCACUAUGUCUCUGUCUGAUUUGUUUUUUAAAUAUCAGCUUAAGAUAAGUGGAAUCCACUUGUGUAAGGCCCCUCCCUACAUAACCAUCCCCCAAAGAUUCAAACAUGACACUAAGUUUCUAUUUGCACCACUGGGUGAAGGAAUUCAAUUCACAGAGAUUGAGGAUAGCAAGAGGAACAGAUCUGAAAGUACUGUGAUGAACUUUGUGGUGGAUAUAUUCAUAUAGAAGAGCUAUCUUAUAAACAGUUCUUCUGGAGCUCAGAGGAUAUCUGUCAACUAGCAAUACAGAUGUGAGAGUCACACAAUUCCAUGUUUAUGGAAUUAAAGCACUAGAUUAAGUGAGAUUUCCCAAACAAAAAAAUAUAUAUAGUAAGAGAAUGAGGAGACAGACUAAGAUAGAGCCAGACAUUCAAAGGCUACAUGGAGAAAGAAUUAGAGCUGUACUUGAAGGAGGUUGAAAGGACUACAGAAGCUAGAUAAGGACAGGAGUUUGGCACACUUUAAUGAUGGCUCUUUUGGUCACUACCAGGCCACCCCAUCAUCUGGGGCCCUACUCAAGGAAUCCUGGGAUUCCCACACAGACAUGAUGAGCCUAGAGAUCCCUCUCUCUACCAUCGCUGGUCAUCUCCAUCAGGAACAGCAUCAUGGACCCUCUUGUGGGCCUCUACAGGAAUUUACCCUCAAUGUGGAACAACAAUGCCACCAAGCUGCAGAUGCUACCAUGACGCCAACCUGGCUUCCCUGGGCAGACGACCUCACCAAUGUGUCCUGGAAUCCCACCUCUCCAGAGCCCUGUGCCACUAGGGAAAGAGAGAGACAGGCUGGGAGUAUGGAUCAACCUGCCAAUGAGCAUGUCCAGCAGAGAAGCAAUUACAGAAGCCAGACCUUCCACCUUCUGCAUCCCAUUAUGAUCCUGGGUCCACACUCCCAGAGGGACGAAGAACAGGAAAGCUUCCAAUGGAUGGAAUAGGAUGAGGAACUCUGGUGGUGGGAACUAUGCAAAUUAUACCCCUCUUACCCUACGUUCAAUCAUUACUAAAGCAAUUAAAAAAAAAAGAUGGGGGCCAGGCAGUAGCACACCAGGUUAAACACACAUAGUAUAGUACAAAGAGCAAGGGCUGGGAGUCAGGCGGUAGCACAGCGGGUUAAGCACAUGUGGCGCAAAGCACAAGGACCGAAGUAAGGAUCCCAGUUCAAGCCCCUGGAUCCCUACCUGCAGGGGAGUCGCUUCACAAGCAGUGAAGCAGGUCUGCAGGUGUCUAUCUUAUAUAUAGAUUCUCUUUUGUUGCCUUGUUUUAUUGUUGUAGUUAUUAUUGUUGUUAUUGAUGUCGUCGUUGUUGGAUAGGACGGAAAGAAAUGGAGAGAGGAGGGGAAGACAUAGGGGGGAGAGAAAGAUAGACACCUGCAAAGGACCGGCAUAAGGAUCCCAGUUCGAGCCCCCGGCUUCCCACCUGCAGGGGAGUCGCUUCAUAGGUGGACUUCAGACCUGCAGACUUGCUUCACCGCUUCCUGUCCAACAACAACGACAUCAAUAACAACAACAAUAAUAAUAACUACAACAAUUUAAAAAAAAAGAUCAAGGGCUAGCAUAAGGAUCCCAGUUCAAACCUACGAUCACUACCUGCAGGAGAGUCACUUCAUAAGUGGUGAAGUAGGUCUGCAGCUGUCUCUCUUCCUCUCUACUUCCCCCUCCCCUCUCAAUUUCUCUCUGUCCUAUCCAAAAAAAAAAAAAAGAAAAUUGAAAAAAAAAAAAAAAAGGCCACAGGAGCUGUGGAUUCGUAGUGCAGUCGCUGAACACCAGUGAUAACCCUGGAGGAAAAUAAAUAAAUAAAUGCUAUAACUAGGACACUGGUAUCUCAAAAAUCCAGAACUGUGUCUCAAAGAGAUUUAUUGCUUCCCUCAGAAAACUAUGAUUUAUGAGAAAGUUUUAUAUUCUCAGAAUCUAAUGUUGACCAGGCUCCAGAGUUUUGGAUUAAUGAAUAUUGUUGGUUAGUGGACUUGAAAAUCAAGGUAUUCACUGCUGACCUGUGAGUGAACAGUCUCUUUAAGAAGGGCAAAAGAUGGGGCUGGAUAAUAGCAGACCCAGUUGAGUGCACAUGUUACCAAGAGCAAAAUCAGGGUUCAAGCCCUCAGCCCCCACCUGCAGAGGGAAGCUUCAGGAGCAGUAAAGCAGGUCUGCAGUUGUCUUUUGUUUUCUCUCCCUCCCUUAUUUUUUCUCCCUAUCAAAUGGGGGGGAGGAAAAACUGUCCAUUAGAAGCAGUGGAUUUGUGGUACAGGCACCAAGUCUCAGCUAUAACACUGGUGACCUUAAAAAGGGGAUGAGGAGGAGCCAGGCAGUGGCGCACCUGAUUAAGUACACACAUUACAGUGCGCAAGGAUGCAGGCAGGUUCAAGCUUCUGGUCCCCAUCUGUGGGGGGAGAACUUCACCAGUGGUGAAGCAGGACUGCCAGUGUCUCUCCUUCUCUCUUCCUAUCUCCCUCUCCCCUCUCAAUUUCUUUCUGUCUCUACCCAAUAAUAAAUAAAUAAAUAAUGUUAAAGGGGUUGGGGCAGAAAAUAUAAAGACAACUAAAGAAGUUUGACAGUGCUACAAAGGGUAGAUAGGACAGAGAAAUGAUAGUAACUUGAGAAGAAAACAGAUUCAGAAAGUGAAUUUUGAAUAUGAAUGUAUUCAUUUUUGUGUCACCUAAAUGUCCUGGUACCUCCCUAAUUCAAAAACUGAAAUCCUGAUAACUGAUGUGAUGGAGCUAGACGGCUGAGCUCUCAGGAGGUGCUUAGGUCACAAGAGGGAGCCCUCAUGAAUGAAGCUUUGUUCUUUUGAAAAAUAGCCCACUGGGUUGAGGAGACAGCAUAAUGUUUAUGGGGAGACAGCAUAAUGGUUAUGCAGAAAAAUUUUCAUUCCUCAGGCACCAAAUGUCCCAAGUUUAAUCCCCUGAGCCACCAUAAACCAGAGCUGAGCAUUGCCCUGGCAAAAAAAAAAAAAAAAAUAUAUAUAU